rnacentral:rRNA from 1 species
GAUCAUGGCUCAGGACGAACGCUGGCGGCGCGCCUAACACAUGCAAGUCGAACGAGAGAUGAGGAGCUUGCUCUUCAGAUCGAGUGGCGAACGGGUGAGUAACGCGUGAGGAACCUGCCUCAAAGAGGGGGACAACAGUUGGAAACGACUACUAAUACCGCAUAAGCCCACGGCUCGGCAUCGAGCAGAGGGAAAAGGAGUGAUCCGCUUUGAGAUGGCCUCGCGUCCGA